rnacentral:rRNA from 1 species
AUUGAACGCUGGCGGCAGGCCUAACACAUGCAAGUCGAGCGGAGCGGCGGACGGGCGAGUAAUGCCUAGGAAUCUGCCUGGCAGUUGGGGAUAACGUCCGGAAACGGGCGCUAAUACCGCCUGCUUGCAGAUGAGCCUAGGUCGGAUUAGCUAGUUGGUGGGGUAAAGGCCUACCAAGGCGACGAUCCGUAACUGGUCUGAGAGGAUGAUCAGUCACACUGGAACUGAGACACGGUCCAGACUCCUACGGGAGGCAGCAGUGGGGAAUAUUGGACAAUGGGCGAAAGCCUGAUCCAGCCAUGCCGCGUGUAUGAAGAAGGCCUUCGGGUUGUAAAGUACUUUCAGCGGGGAGGCGUUACCCGCAGAAGAAGCACCGGCUAACUCCGUGCCAGCAGCCGCGGUAAUAC